rnacentral:rRNA from 1 species
UGAGGAAUAUUGGGCAAUGCCCGCAAGGGUGACCCAGCAACGCCGCGUGGAGGAUGAAUGUCGUAAGAUUGUAAACUCCUGUUAGAGGGGAAGAAUAGUACCGGUUGGACUGGUAUAUGACUGUACCCUCAGAGAAAGCCCCGGCUAACUACGUGCCAGCAGCCGCGGUAAUACGUAGGGGGCAAGCGUUGUCCGGAUUUACUGGGUGUAAAGGGCGCGCAGGCGGGAUAAAAAGUCAGUGGUGAAAUCCUACAGCUUAACUGUAGAACUGCCUUUGAUACUUUUAUUCUUGAGUUCGGGAGAGAGAGACGGAAUUCCAGGUGUAGUGGUGAAAUACGUAGAUAUCUGGAAGAACACCAGUUGCGAAGGCGGUCUCUUGGUCCGACACUGACGCUGAGGCGCGAAAGCGUGGGGAGCAAACA